GAAAAUUGAAAGAAAGAAGGAAAGAAAGAAAGAAGGAAAGAAAGAAGAAAGAAAUCAGCGUGAUAAACACGGACAUCCUGAUAACAUGAAACUAUUUCCACUGCAGAUGCCUUGGUUGGAGCUGGCUGCACAUGUCUGGCCAUCAAGCUGCUAUUUCUGCCCGUGCCAGUCGCUCCAGGAUUGCAGCUAUGAGAAGAGAGCUUUGAAGAGCUGUCCAGGAAGCACCGUUGGCUAACCAGAUGAGAUCCCCAGAUGUUUUUCUCACAAGGGAGGAAUGUGAGGACCUGUCAGGAUUUGGGACAGAUGUCAGACGAACUAUUUAAUCUGGAUGCACAUUUUAUACAGUGUGUCUGAAUCAGACGUAAGGAAAAGCAUGACCUAACCCACAGUUCUAGUUCACAGUUCACAGUAUGACUUGGAGAUGGUAAAGGUGUCUGAGCAUUAGUAUCCAAAAUCCCCUUUCCAUUUUAAAGCUUAAGCAUYGUGGCUAUCACAGUCUUUUUAGUGGACAAUUUUCUUUAGAAUAUUAACCAAAAAAUAAAARUCCAUUGUGGAUUUUUCAUUACCAAGUGGACAAUUUAAUCAUUCAGAACAGUAGUAAGAUAMGUUUUAACAGUAGACAUAAAAGCAUUACAGGUAGCAUAUYAUUUCCUUAAUUUGUGCUUUCUAUGGAUUUCACCAUUUGAACAUUAUAAAUAUUAAGAAUUAUUCAUGGCAGCAUUUGACAACAUUCAAUAMAUGUCUUUUUCACCAUAUGUUAAUUGCUGUGAAAUGCUGUGAAAACGGUUUGCCUUUUUACAGGGGUGAAAAGCUAUUUAGCUAGUACAGCAUUUUAGAAACAGAAUACCAAACAUGGUGGUUGCAGUGUGAUGGCCUUGAGCUGCUUUGCUGUUUCAUGACUUGAUAUUAUUCCAGGAACCAUUAAUUCUGCUCUCUAACUUAAAUUUAUGAAGGAGAAUGUUGUCCAGUUGURAUAAAACGAUUUACCACAGGACAAAAACCCAAAGUCAGUCCACUUUUAAACUCCUCGAACUAAAAGUUUUGGAGAGACUGUUCUGAAAUCCAAUCAACAUGCUGUGGUCUGACUUUAAACAGGUCAUCCAUGCUUGAAAAUUCUCCACUUUGGCUAAAUUAAAACAAUUCUGCAAAGAAGAGUGGACCAAAAUUCUUCCACUUAAAUGUAGAAAACUCAUUGCGGCUUAAAGAAAACAUGGUAGCUGUUCUCUAGUUUUUAGCUUUCGAGGACAGACAGUUGCUUUCCAAGGUUGAUUUAAAAUCUGUGUAUUUGCUUAAAGUUUAUAUGUGGAGAUAAGAGAGCAAGUAUCUGUUCAUCUGUGUGACAGAGUCAAAUAAUGAAGACUAUAUGUUGGGUUCCUCAACAACAUUUAGCUACAACAUAAUUGACAUUCUCAUAGCAGUUACAUUGACAAAAUCAAUGAAAAUGCUGUUAUACUGACAAAAAUCUGGCAUCAUAAAUUGUCCAUGCUGCCAGACAAUUGUUUUAAAUUAGUUGUCUGGCAGCAUGUAGAAGAAUAAAACAGACACAGUGCGAUAGAAAAGAUCGUGUCCCAUCUUCCAAGCUGUUGCUACAACAAAAACAUUCAGGAAUUUUAUAUAUUGGUCUUGAUACCAACUCUCAUAUCUUCCCAGCUUUUACUUCAGAUCUUUUAAUCCUUUACUAUUGAGACUGUUUCUGUGCAACCUACAAACCUGUACAUGGAUAAAUAAAUAAUCCCAUGCUAAGACACUUACAACAGAUUCCAGAAAAAAAAAAAAAAAACUCAAAACAAAUAAAUGUAGGUAGUGGAAAACAAACUCAUUUAUUUUCUCACCAUAUUCUCCUUCCCACUCUCUGAGUUGAUGUUUUUGUUGCAGUUUCAGGAUAAUGGGGCAGUAUGUUUUGUAUUUACCUUUGGCAGUAUGGCUUAGUGAAUUCCAAAUGUUUCUUUUGAAGUAUGUGUGUGUGUUUGUGAGAAUGCCUCUAAUUGGACUCUGGGUUUAUAGUUCGUACAAGACUGUGAUGUUUGAGGCUUCAAUUGUUUGCCUCCCAGUUAGAAAAAUGCAGUAACCAUUGUUUUCCUUCAGUCAGUUUAUGUGCACCUGUUUAUAUCUCUCAUUUUGUGAGUCCUCACAUCAGUUGACAGAUUCAUAUUUGGGUAUCAGACUCCAAAAUGCAAAAUUUAUGGCACAUUUUAAUCCACUCUUUGAUCAAACAAUGUUUUUACUCUACAAACUAAAUACAUGAUUUUGAACCUAUAAAGAUCAAGCAACCAACAAAGUGUCUUCUAAUGACCGAAUAUAUUACAGAUGCCCUUACAUUAAUAAUGCCCAUUUCCAAUACUCUUAUACACCAAUUGUUGACAUUUAUACCUUUGUACAUCUGCUUCUCUUCUUGUAUAUUUCAGUUGUCUGGGAAUUUUCAGGCCCCUUCAUUCCUUGUGACACAUCUACUUGAUGGCUAAUAAAUGAUUCUUAUCCCCAUUCAUUGAUAAGAGACAAUCAUUGACAAUUAGCUUUGCUCCAUUUGCUUUUAGAGUAGGACUAGCCUGUUGGCAGCUCCUGUUAUUGAGAUCAAUCAGUUAAAGUGCAGCAGUAAAGCUUGGAGGGCAGUAUGCGUGUUUGUGUGUGGGUGUUAAACUCCCUGUGUGAUCAAGCCUGGAUGACUGCCCUCUUGAGAUCUUGAGCGAUUAGUGUGGAAAUUACUCUCAGAUUGCUGUGCAUUGUGCCCCAUAGGCUGCAUGUGUUCCUGUGCAAAGGCCAUCUCCCCUCGGAAUACACACAGGCAUGUAAGAAAAGCUGUUUCCUUCUUUAAACAAAGACGUAUUGCAAAGUCACUAAUUAAUGGCAAAUAAUAUGUAAAUUCCUGUACUCUUAUUUCAUUCCAGGAGGCCCUUUAGCUGAGUCAAGUCUAAAGGUUAAACCUGAGUAUUUUACCAGCUGACAAAAAAAGAAUAUAAGCCGUUCACUAUAACAUGAUAUAUUUGCUCUUACUAAUCCAGGAGCACAUAUUUCUCAGUCACAGUUGGGCUAUUUACUCUUCAAAAAGUAUCGAUGCAGGGAAAUCUGCACUCCCUGGAUGUCUGUAAUCUUCUGCUAAAUGUUAGCUCCAACAGUUUCACAGAAUGGAAAUCACUUUCCAGACUGGUUAGUUGUUGGAAACUUCUGCAGCUUCCCACCUAAUCCCGAGUUAACAUUGGAAGCAUCAACACAAUUAGACAUUGUGGAAAUUACUGUUUGUUUUUUUUUAGAUUUUACACUAAUGUUUAGUGAAGAACAUUA